AUUGAACGCUGGCGGCAGGCUUAACACAUGCAAGUCGAGCGAGCGGCGGACGGGUGAGUCAUGUCUGGGAAACUGCAUGAUGGAGGGGGAUAACUACUGGAAACGGUAGCUACUACCGCAUACCAUCAGAUGUGCCCGGAUGGGAUUAGCUAGUAGGUGGGGUAAGUGCUCACCUAGGCGACGAUCCAUAGCUGGUCUGAGAGGAUGACCAGCCACACGGGAACUGAGACACGGUCCAGACCCCUACGUGAGGCAGCAGUGGGGAAUAUUGCACAAUGGGCGCAAGCCUGAUGCAGCCAUGCCGCGUGUGUGAAGAAGGCCUUCGGGUUGUAAAGCACUUUCAGCGAGGAGGCGUUACUCGCAGAAGAAGCACCGGCUAACUCCGUGCCAGCAGCCGCGGUAAUAC
rnacentral:rRNA from 1 species